rnacentral:tRNA from 1 species
GGUAGAAUGGCCGAACGUUUAGGCGGUGGGCCGUAGCCCCAUUCACAGGGGUUUAAUUCCUCUUUUUACCA